rnacentral:rRNA from 1 species
GACGAACGCUGGCGGCGUGCUUAACACAUGCAAGUCGAGCGGAAAGGCCCUUCGGGGUCCUCGAGCGGCGAACGGGUGAGUAACACGUGAGUAAUCUGCCCUUGGCUUUGGGAUAACUACCGGAAACGGUGGCUAAUACCGGAUACGACCACCGUCUGCAUGGGCUGGUUGUGGAAAGUUUUUUCGGCCAGGGAUGUGCUCGCGGCCUAUCAGCUUGUUGGUGGGGUAAUGGCCUACCAAGGCUUCGACGGGUAGCCGGCCUGAGAGGGUGACCGGCCACACUGGGACUGAGACACGGCCGAGACUCCUACGGGAGGCAGCAGUGGGGAAUAUUGGACAAUGGGCGGAAGCCUGAUCCAGCAACGCCGCGUGAGGGAUGACGGCCUUCGGGUUGUAAACCUCUUGCAGUACCGACGAAGCGCCGAUGAUGGUGGUGACGGUAGGUACAGAAGAAGCACCGGCCAACUACGUG